rnacentral:rRNA from 1 species
UACGUAGGGUGCGAGCGUUGUCCGGAAUUAUUGGGCGUAAAGAGCUUGUAGGCGGUUUGUCGCGUCUGCUGUGAAAAUCCGGGGCUCAACCCCGGACUUGCAGUGGGUACGGGCAGACUAGAGUGUGGUAGGGGAGACUGGAAUUCCUGGUGUAGCGGUGGAAUGCGCAGAUAUCAGGAGGAACACCGAUGGCGAAGGCGGGUAGCUGGGCCAACACUGACGCUGAUGCGCGAAAGCUAGGGGAGCAAACGGG